rnacentral:rRNA from 1 species
GUCCUUUUGAUUUUUAUUUAAGGUCUGACCUGCCCACUGAUUUAUUUAAUGGCCGCGGUAUUCUGACCGUGCAAAGGUAGCAUAAUAAUUUGUCUUUUAAUUGAAGGCUUGUAUGAAUGGUUGGACGAGAAAACUUCUUUCUUUAUAAUAUAUCUGUGAAUUUUAUUUUUUAGUUAAAAAGCUAAAAUAUUAUUGUAGGACGAGAAGACCCUAUAGAACUUUAUAAUUUUUGUUAUAUUAAUAUUUUUGGCUAAUAAAUAUGUUAUUUAAUGUAAAUUAUUUUGUUGGGGCGACAAGAAAAUUUAUUUAACUUUUUUUAAUUAAUUUCACUAAUUAGUGCAUAAAUGAUCCUUUAUUAUGGAUAAUAAGAGUAAGUUACCUUAGGGAUAACAGCGUAAUUUUUUUGGAGAGUUCUUAUCGAUAAAGAAGUUUGCGA